UCCGUAGGGUGCGAGCGUUGUCCGGAAUUAUUGGGCGUAAAGGGCUCGUAGGCGGUUUGUCGCGUCGGGCGUGAAAUCCACUGGCUUAACUGGUGGCUUGCUUUCGAUACGGGCAGACUGGAGGUAUGCAGGGGAGAACGGAAUUCCUGGUGUAGCGGUGAAAUGCGCAGAUAUCAGGAGGAACACCGGUGGCGAAGGCGGUUCUCUGGGCAUUACCUGACGCUGAGGAGCGAAAGUGUGGGGAGCGAACAGG
rnacentral:rRNA from 1 species